UGGGGGAAUUUUGGACAAUGGGCGAAAGCCUGAUCCAGCAAUGCCGCGUGUGUGAAGAAGGCCUUCGGGUUGUAAAGCACUUUUUGUCCGGAAAGAAAUCCUUGGCUCUAAUACAGUCGGGGGAUGACGGUACCGGAAGAAUAAGCACCGGCUAACUACGUGCCAGCAGCCGCGGUAAUACGUAGGGUGCAAGCGUUAAUCGGAAUUACUGGGCGUAAAGCGUGCGCAGGCGGUUUGCUAAGACCGAUGUGAAAUCCCCGGGCUCAACCUGGGAACUGCAUUGGUGACUGGCAGGCUAGAGUAUGGCAGAGGGGGGUAGAAUUCCACGUGUAGCAGUGAAAGUGCGUAGAGAUGUGGAGGAAUAUCGAUGGCGAAGGCAGCCCCCAU
rnacentral:rRNA from 1 species